CAUUUUGCAACGAAACUUCGGAAUAUUACUAAUUUUGUGAUGCUCUUUCAAGCUGUGAUAAAAGUUUUGUCUACACUUGUCUAGGUCAAAAUUUUGUUCAUUAGCAGGGCUGCCAACUCUCCCGGAUUAUCCGGGAGUCUCAAGAUUUUGGACCUAAUCUCCCAGUCUCCAGAUUUUGUCUUAAUUCUCCCGGAUUAGGAUAAUCACCAACGUCGAUUUAUGCACUAGCCAUUUGAUUCUUCGUUGUCAAAGGUUUUAACAAUAAAAAUUAUUUGCGUUGCACAUUCGUUUUCCUGGUAAAAAUAAAAUUCUUUCGUUGCUGCCUGCGUUGCUUUUAAUCAGCGGUUGAAUGACGCCAUUUUCCGUAAACACUUCAUCUUACAGGGAUUUUUUUACCCGUAUUGACGCCAUUAAAGAUGUCGAUAUUUUAUUAAACUAGUACAUAAUAUUGUGAAACUUGAAAUCAACAGUUAUUCAGGCAAUUUAUAGUUAAUAUUCGACUUUUUGUAUGUCCGGAAAAAAUUUUUGACCCCUAAAUUGGUACACUGACCGAAAAGGGGGGGGGGGGGAGGUCGGCGAAAAAAAAAUUCAAUAUCAAUUCUCCAGAUUUGAAAACUUCCAGGGUUGGCAGCCCUGCAUUAGGUAAUAGGUCCAUUAAUGAUCGGCCCUUAGCAUAAAAACACAAAAUAAAUGCACGUGACGCCUAGAAAUACUGUGUCUAUUUUAUACUAAUAUGAUCUAUAUUCUCCAAGGAACGACUUUCCGGAAAAGCAGACCGGUUCAAAUAUUAAAGCGGCCUGUUUUGACAUUACCUAAAUUCCAUUUGCGUUUAUAAUAAUAACACCAGUAUGUAAUAAUUAUAUAGCAUGCAGAGUACAUAUAAUCACGACGGUAGCGCGAAGUUGAGUAUUGUCCUCCCCGACCCGUUGGAGGACAGCCACCGUAAAUAUGCAUGAUACUGCACUUGAAAGCUAAUAAAAUACCAUAUGCUUUGCCGCAAAAUAUUAAACUGUAAACUGAAAACCAAGCAAAUAAUAUAUCAAUUAAAUGAAUAUAUAUACUCUUGACGGUCGAUCUAUAAACCUAUAGCUAAAUUUAAACUCGAAUUAAUUUACAACUUACGUGCUCAAAAGCAGGACAACCACAAACACAAGUAUGCGAAUCUGGCUUUAUAGUAAUAUAUUUAACACACUUUGUGCCGUGUUUACGGCAUUUGCCGCGCAAAUUCCCGGCCAAGUCCAUCCAAAAUACCGUCUCUUACAACUAUGCUCGUCGUCAGGAAGAACGAUAAGACACUCCCAUUCUAUAUUUACAUUUGAAACUUGUAAACAUUUUUCAAAAUCAAAAAUCAAAAAAUCAAAAAAUCAAAAAAUCAAAAAAUCAAAAAAUCAAAAAAUCAAAAAAUCAAAAAAUCUAAAAAUCAAAAAAUCUAAAAAUCUAAAAAUCUAAAAAUCUAAAAAUCAAAAAAUCUAAAAAUCUAAAAAUCAAAAAAUCAAAAAAUCAAAAAAUCAAAAAAUCAAAAAAUCAAAAAAUCAAAAAAUACAAAAACUGUUUUUGUGCUGUCGCGUCUGGGCCACCGUAGUAACGUGUGUGUAACGUGUCUAUAAUUAGUACGUAAAAAUAGAUUGAUAUUUUGCGCAUGUGCGACCAGAUUUGCUUGAGCUCAUCUCACAUAAUCCCAAAAUUAUAGGAGAUGGAAGUUUGCAAUAAAUUCUAGUGCAAGUUUACGAUCGGUAAGUCCAUAUAUCAACAUAAAUAAAAUGCUUGAAUUGGGUUUAAAAUCUAGUGAGUAUGUCAAUCUUACGUAACAAUUCAGCUAAAAGUGGGAAAAUCAUUGAAAUUUUUCCAAAAUUGUAUACAAGUAGGUCAGAACGAUGCGUGUCUGUUAUAAAAUACUUGAAUUUAAAGAAAAUAUUCUGUUUGAGAAAAAAAUAUAUACUCAUGAUUGUCAGCCAUGGGAAAAGUUAGUCUGAAUUUUAUUCAUUAUUUUAUAAUCUUCUUCCAAUGUAUAUAUUCAUCAAUUAAUCGUCCUUUCCUGGCAAAAAAUAACUAUAGUUCUCAGGAUCCCCUAUAUUCUUUUUGCAUGAAGUACUCAGUUCUGGGAAACCGCUGGGAAAAAAUAUUAUAUAGCAAAAGGUUCACUAAGGAAGAAAUCCAAGUCAGCGUCUUCCCUGGAGCACUAAGUUGAAUCAACAUGAACGAAUUGCGUUUUAUUCAAAAGUACAAAUAGAGACAAUCAGGAGCAAAAAUUAGACAACCGCAUAAGUGCCCCCCUCACCCCCAAUUCAAUGUUGUGUGGAUGACUGAAAAGAGAAAAUUCAACCCACUUUAAAAACCACCUUAAAUUAUAAUGACGUCAAGAAAUGGGAAUAUCGGGAUUUUUUAGGGAAUCUCGGGAUAUUUUGGGAGCUUACUUACGAUUUUUACAAAAUUACAGUUGGCAACGCUGACUCGAAGUCAAUUAGCGAUUUAAGCAUUCGAAUUAAGCCCCGACAUUUGGUGGAUGUAAACAAGUGACGCGUGUAUACUCGCAAAAAUAUUGGCAAAUAAGUGAACGUAAAAUUUCAGCAAUUUUAAGAAAUAUAUUUUACUAACAUCUCUUUUGCUUUGCCUACAGUUCUAUAUACAGACAAUGACAUCGUGAAAUGAGAGAACUCAAUAAGGAUUUGUAAACAACAGCUCAUUCAGGGCGGCAAUUACGGCUUUAAAAACAAACUAGAAGUUACUAUCGCAAGGAAAGUGCUGCCUCAUCCCCAAGAGAUCAAAUCAGCAUAUGCAAAUUUGCUGAAUAUCCUUAUAUGAUCCCCGCUUUCGGGACGAGAAUUUCGAUGUAUUGAAAUAAGUCAUGGUCUACAACAUUUGAGUUUUGUUAACCAGCAUUUGAAUUUUCAUUUAGCCUAGUGACUUAUUUCAAUACAUCAAAAUCAUCCCACCUUCCAUCAUGUAAACAGUCCCUAAGAUGCCAACUAAGAUGCCUGUUCAGGAGUGCAUUUUGAAUACCAAACACCUUGCACAAAGUCGAAGGUCAGCUAAAUAUUCUAAUUCUACUUUCUUGGCAUGGGUGAUUUUAUAUGAAUAUCUUCAAUGCUUAUAACUUCUUGCUUUUGUAUGUACUGGAAAAAUUAUAAUACUGUCAGUGGUGAAGCUAGCCAUAGCAACAGGUCAUGCUAUGCAAGUUUAUAAUGAUUUGCAUUGUAGGUUUAUUAGCAUAGCAUGACCAGUUGUCAUGGCUAGCUUGCCAUUGAAUACUGUACAAUAUCAUAUAUAUAUAAACAAUAAUAAUACUUGAAUGAAUCAAUAGACAUGUAGAAUUUAAUAACAAUUUCAUAUAUAGAAAUACUAAGUCAGUCCCCACAAGCAAAUAUCCUGGGUACGAGGCUGAGUCCGU
rnacentral:lncRNA from 1 species